GCUCCCAUCGUCUAGAGGCCUAGGACGUCGCCCUCUCACGGCGCAAACCGGGGUUCGAAUCCCCGUGGGAGCACCA
rnacentral:tRNA from 1 species